UACGGAGGGUGCAAGCGUUAUCCGGAAUCACUGGGUUUAAAGGGUGCGUAGGCGGUUAGAUAAGUCAGUUGUGAAAUUCUCCGGCUUAACCGGAUGGACUGCGAUUGAUACUGUUUAACUUGAAUCAGGUUGAGGUAGGCGGAAUGUGGCAUGUAGCGGUGAAAUGCAUAGAUAUGCCAUAGAACACCGAUUGCGAAGGCAGCUUGCUGGACCUGUAUUGACGCUGAGGCACGAAAGCGUGGGGAGCAAACAGG
rnacentral:rRNA from 1 species